rnacentral:rRNA from 1 species
CCUACGGGAGGCAGCAGUGGGGGAUAUUGCACAAUGGGGGAAACCCUGAUGCAGCGACGCCGCGUGGGCGAAGAAGUAUUUCGGUAUGUAAAGCCCUAUCAGCAGGGAAGAAGAAAUGACGGUACCUGAGUUAGAAGCACUGGCUAAAUCCGCGCCAGCAGCCGCGGUAAUACGUAGGGCGCAAGCGUUAUCCGGAUUUACUGGGUGGAAAGGGAGCGCAGGCGGCACGGCAAGCCUGAUGUGAAAGCCCGCGGCCCAACCGCGGGACUGCAUUUGGAACUACCGGGCUGGAGUGCCGGAGAGGUAGGCGGAAUUCCUAGUGUAGCGGUGAAAUGCGUAGAUAUUAGGAGGAACACCAGUGGCGAAGGUGGCCUACUGGACGGUGACUGACGCUGAGGCUCGAAAGCGUGGGGAGCAAACAGGAUUAGAUACCCUUGUAGUC